CGUAAACGAUGAGUGCUAAGUGUAGGGGGUUCCGCCCUUAGUGCUGCAGCUAACGCAUUAAGCACUCCGCUGGGGAGUACGACCGCAAGGUUGAAACUCAAAGGAAUUGACGGGGGCCCGCACAAGCGGUGGAGCAUGUGGUUUAAUUCGAAGCAACGCGAAGAACCUUACCAGGUCUUGACAUCCUUUGACAACUCUAGAGAUAGAGCUUUCCCUUCGGGGACAAAGUGACAGGUGGUGCAUGGUUGUCGUCAGCUCGUGUCGUGAGAUGUUGGGUUAAGUCCCGCAACGAGCGCAACCCUUAUUGUUAGUUGCCAUCAUUCAGUUGGGCACUCUAGCGAAACUGCCGGUGACAAACCGGAGGAAGGUGGGGAUGACGUCAAAUCAUCAUGCCCCUUAUGACCUGGGCUACACACGUGCUACAAUGGACAGUACAAUGAGCAGCGACACGGCGACGUGAAGCGAAUCUCAUAAAGCUGUUCUCAGUUCGGAUUGUAGGCUGCAACUCGCCUACAUGAAGCCGGAAUCGCUAGUAAUCGCGGAUCAGCACGCCGCGGUGAAUACGUUCCCGGGCCUUGUACACACCGCCCGUCACACCACGAAAGUUUGUAACACCCAAAGUCGGUGAGGUAACCUUCGGGAGCCAGCCGCCUAAGGUGGGAUAGAUGAUUGGGGUGAAGUCGUAACAAGGUAACCA
rnacentral:rRNA from 1 species